ensembl:miRNA
AGUAGAGAUGGGGUUUCUCCAUGUUGGUCAGGCUGGUCUCAAACUCCUGACCUCAGGUGAUCCACCCACC